ACGACCUUACUUGAACAGGAUCUGUUCUAUAGGUUGUACAACUGUGUCCUUGAGUUCUAAGGAGAUAAGAAUCAAAGUCUGGUGGAUGAAUUAUUUGCCUUGUAACUAGAGCGUGAGUAACUGCCAAUGAACCUUGGCUUCAGUGGCUGUAGAUGAUCGUUCUCAGCAGGCUCCAACCUACUGGGAUUGGUUACAAGGUGAUCUGACAGACU